rnacentral:lncRNA from 1 species
GUGUUUUCUAACUUCCGGGGCGAUUGGGUUAAGUGUACAGUACUUGACAAAAUUUUGUACGCGGCGACCGUAAAUACGCGACACAGCAAUCCGCGAAAUCAUUGCAUGGAAAGAAUUAUGAGGAUUUGAAAAUAAUUAUGACGACUAUAUGGCAAUAGUGUGACGUCACCGCAGUCCUGAGGUAACGGAUUUAGGAUACGUACUGGCCCGCCACGAGUGGUCAGUGUAGCAUAGUAGUGUAGCCUCAGGCUGCCAUAUUGAGGGGACAUAAGCUGCCUGAUUGUUUUCUAAUCCGUAGAAUUUCUUUUCAAAGUUCUGGGUGGAUUUCCAUAGCCAGUGAUUUUAUUAUGGCUAAUAGCAAAGAGUUGGGACAGGAUACCAUAGCCCAGAUCAUUGCUCUGAAGGAAGCUGGCCACCAAACUAAAGAAGUGAGUGACUAUCUUGGUCUGGCUAGAUCAACAGUGCAGAAGUGGUACGCGCGCUUUUGUGAAAACGGAUGCAUGCAAACUCCAGCCCCCAAAAAACGUUCAGGACGGCCUAGAAAAACAUCUUCAAGAUCUUUGACAAUUAUCAAGUGUGCCCUUGAGAAAAGUCCUCAUGUUACAGCCAGAAUAGUGAAGGAACAGAACCCUGGGGUGUUAGGAGAAGUUUCAGUAAGGACUGUAUCACGCCGAGUAAAUGAACUUUGCUACACCAGCCACAAGCCUGUGCGCAAGCCCCUUGUUACACGUAGACAGAGAGAAAAGCGCAUUCAUUUUGCAAAGAAGUAUCAAACAUGGAGUGAAGAGGACUGGUUGAAUGUUUUGUGGUCUGAUGAGGCCACUUUUAAUGUUACAUGCAACAGAGGAAGCCAUGUCUACCGUCGUCAAGGAAGUGAUCCUCUUGACCCUUGAUAUCUGAAAAACACUGACAAAUUCCUGGAUUCGUUGAUGGUAUGGGGAUGCUUUUCUGGUAGUGGUUUAGGCCCUUUAGUUGUGCUGCCUAGAAGCAUUAGAGUUAACCAGAAUGUGUACCUGGAGCUUCUCAGUGACCAUUUGCCAGAUGCAUUUGACAAGUUAGGGGCCAGAGUGUUUCAACAGGAUGGUGCCCCUGCCCACACUGCCAAAUCUAUAACAACUUGGCUCAGUGACUGUGGUGUUUAUAAAAAAAAAAAAAAAAAAAAAAAACUGGCAAGGGAACAGUCCCAAUUUAAACCCAAUAUAAAAUUUUGUGGCACAUUAUCAAACAUCUGCAGGGCCGGGACGUCAGUACACUACCCAAGUUGGAGGCAGCCAUUCGUGACGCCUGGAUUAAUAUCCCCUCCAGACAUCUUCACAAUCUUGCUGCAUCCCUUCCACGUCGUCUUAAGGCUGUGUUGAAGCGCAAAGGUCACCCUACAAAAUAUUAAUUAGUACAGCGAGCUAUGGCAGGAAAGCCAGAACAUCGAGCUGCUGCAGAGGGACAAUAACUUCCAGUGCACCCAUCCUCUGCAUCAUUGCAGAAUCUUGCCAAGAUGACAUUUGAGGAGUUUCAUCACCUGUCUGAGAAAGAGAAAAAUAGAUAGGGUUUAAUAUGUUGAUAUGCAAUAUAAACUAGCUCAAAUAUUAAAAAAAGUAAUUCUUUCCCAUCUCCUCUUUCAGUAAUAUUACAUUAUUUUAUUUACAUUUUGUAUGGUAACCGUGGCGAUGUAAUAAGGAGGCGUAAUCAAGGCAAAUGCCACGAACAGCACAUUUCUCAGUGGGCGGCACAAGCGAGGCUACUGAGAGUAUUGGUGUUCAGACCCGUUAUUUUAGAAUUUGCAACAUUGAAGGCAUACAAAUAAUGAUUUAAAGUUGAUGUAUGUAUAAUAUGUAUACAUAAUACACAAAUGCUUAAUAUCACAUUUUAAUUACUUUCAUGCGCAGCAUUUCCAGGUUUCGCCCUAUGUAAAUCUAUCUCUCAUUACACCGCUGCAUGAAAGGACUGUGGUAUUUAACAGAGUAUAAAACAUUGUGAUGUGU